UACGGAGGGUGCGAGCGUUGUCCGGAAUCACUGGGCGUAAAGGGCGCGUAGGCGGCCUCUUAUGGGUGCGGUGAAAGUCCGGGGCUCAACCCCGGAUCGGCCGUGCCGACUGAGAGGCUGGAGCACUGUAGAGGCGAGUGGAAUUCCGGGUGUAGCGGUGGAAUGCGUAGAGAUGUGGAGGAACACCAGUGGCGAAGGCGGCUUUCUGGUCUGUAACUGACGCUGAGGCGCGAAAGCGUGGGGAGCAAACAGG
rnacentral:rRNA from 1 species